GGGAGACACGUGCUUUUCCUUAAACGAUAUGCAAGAACCAUAUUUUAUUUAAUUAAAAAUUUUAAAAAUAUUUUAUUCAUCCCUGUCUUCAAUAGAAACAUUUUUAAAAUACAAUAUCCAAACAUAAAACUCAAUCACUUCUACCCUUAAUGCAAAAGUUAAAAGCUAUCCCAAACAAGGCUUUAAGUCUGCAGCAAAAGCAAUUAUUAAGUAUCACCACUACAAUGGAGUGAAGUGGCAACUAUCUAACUACACAGAAAUCUGUUUUUUACUCUACAUUAAAACAAGAGAACAACUAACAGAUAGUGAAGUUUUCAACUUCUCUAAAUGUGGGUUUUAGAAAAUAAAGAACAAAAGGGCAUAUGGGUGUAGUGAAAGUUACAAUGCCAUCUGAAUUUUCCCAAUCCUUUUCAAGAAAUUGCCCAAACAACUUCCCACAUGUGUUUUCACCCCACCUUCUGGAGAACCUGCACCCAAAACCAAAAAUCAAGAAUCAGCUCUCACUUUCUAGAAUUUCAAACCAAACCCACAAUUUUUAAAAACUUGCCAAUCUAAUCCUGCCAAUUUUCCCGGGAACCAAACAGUUCAAAAGGUUUGAAUUGUGUCUCUUGCACUGACAAUUCAAAUAAAAUACUAUCAUGGGAUGCCAUAAAAUGAAGUUACCUUGAAAAAACGAGACGUGGGUAUUGAUGGGAAAGCUUUGAAUUGUGUUCCUUGACGCGAGAAUUCAAAGAAAAUAAGUAAGAACUGAAGAAUUUGGGAGGUUUGGGACAUGGAGAAUGAAGUGAAUGUGUCCUCAGAACGCUCUCCGAGAGCGUUAUGGUUCGCAUUCUCUCUCUUCCCCUCCCUCCCUAGUGGUAGCUUUUGAUGGAUAAGCUAUCUGGGCAAAGCGCCACCACCUUCUCACCUUCUAUCUGCUUUGAAAAUUAACCGAAUUUUGCUUUUUAAAUAAUAAAAACACCUUUCACCAGAUAUUUUUGUAAAACAUUUUCUUUCAGAGCUGCAUCGGGCCCAAGAUGUCCCCUUAUAGGUAAGUUUGGGCCAGGCGUUGUAAACCAAAAUUGGACCUUUCUGAGCCCAAUUUUGAUCCAUAAAGUGGAUGGCCCAGGAUAGCCUCGCCCAUGUCUACCAAAGGAGUAAACGUAUUUUUAGCAAGGAUGAAAAUAUCGGUAAUCACGGAUAUAUCGGUCUUUAAUUUUACGGAUAUAUCGGUGGAUAUUUUGGAAAAAAAUAUCGAUAAACCUAAAAUUAAUCAAAAUUUAUAAAAAUAUAAGAAAAACUUCAUAAAAAUGUAAUUAGAAGUAUAAUAGAUAUUUUAAAAUUGUUUAAUUAAAGAAUUUGAUAUAUGUAUAAUAUGAUUUAUCAUAUUUGAUAAUAAUAUCGUAUACAUUGAUAAAAAUAUGAAUUUUAUAAGUAUACAUUUAUUAUUAAAUUAUAUUAUAAUAUGUCUAACUUAAAAAUAUAUAUUAAUAUUAAAAUUAUGAUCUUAUUUAAUUCAAUUGUAUUAAAUAAUAUAAAAUAAAUUUUGAUAUAUGUACAAUUUUUAAUAUUUAAUUAAUUCAUUAAUGAUAUUGAAAACAUUAUGAAGAAAAUUAUCAUGAUAAUUUUUAUAUUUUUGGUAAUCAAUUAAAAGAAAAUUUUUUAUUUAAUUAUAAAAUAAUUAUAUUUAAUUUGCCCUCUAAAAUAUUCUUUACAUGAUGACUUUAAAUAUAUAUUUUAAGUACAACUUAUUUAGCGAAGGGCAGGCUUGCCCUGGUGGUUGGAUGUGUUGAACCCCAAACUUUUUGUUUGGAGUUCGAAUCCCUUUAACAGCACAAGAGAGAUAAUUUUGAGGGUGCAUUGUAGCACGCCUUGAGAAAAAUCGCCGAUUUUUUCAUCGCGAAAUAUGGUGUCGCCCACUCCCAAUCGACAUUUUCCUCUUGAUUUUUAGCAUUGUUUUUUUGGGUAAAUUAUAAAAUCAUCCUCAUACUUUCACCCAUAUUUCAAACUAACUUCUAAACAUUUUUAAAGUAAUCUCAAACGUCAGCCCUAUAAUAUAUCCAAAUUAAUAAUUAAUGUUGAAUAGGGUUAUUUUGUUAAGAUUUUUUAAAUUAAGAAAUUCAUAUAACAAACCAUAGACAAAUUAGACGCACCCAAGCUUAUCAUAUAAAAACUCAUCCAAAUGUAUAUGUAAUUAUCAUAUGAGUUUUUUCCAUCAAUUUUCGAAGGAAAAUCUUUAAUAAAAUGGACUAUUUAGGGGUGACAUUGCUUAAAAAAAAGUUUAAGAGCUAAAUUGGAAUAUGAGUACAAAGAUCAUUUUUAUAAUUUACCUUUCUUUUUUUUAAUGAUUUUGAUGGUAUUUUUGGUAAUAUAAAACAAAUAAUGUGAUUUUUUGGGACACCACAUGUAGCACAGCAAAUCCAAUAUUUGCUUGAGAUGAUUUUUUAGACUUUAAAAUUUUUUAUUAAAAGUUUAAUUUUUGUAAAGAAAAGCACUUAUAAGCCUUAUAAAAUUACUGGGAUGAUUGGAUUUGUUUUCUAAACUUUUUACUUAAAACAAUUUGCUUUGACUUAAAUAGAAAUAAAAUUAUUAACUUAAUGUGGUAUUAAGCUUUCUUUAUUUUUCUUCGUGUUUUACAAAUACAUUCAAGAAUAAAAUCCAAAUUAGAGAUUCUUCAUAAGAAAGUGAACAAAGAAGUACCACGAGAUAAUCCAUAGAUUAACUCACUACAUACCAUCAUCAACUGAAAUAAACCAAAAAAAAUAAAAUUGCAAACCUAAAUUCAUUUUCUCACCAAAUUUAAAAAGAAAAACUAAAAAAAUAAAAUAAAGAACUUGUUACCAACACUCAUACAACUUGACAUCAACCCUAAGCCUGAAGUAAACUUCUCCCUCAAAAGCAUCUGUCAUCAAGGUGGCAAUCCCUCUAGCCAUGAAGAAGUCACCAGUGCCACCAAUCACUGAGAUGUCCCUGGUCUUGUUCAUCAACGGAUCAGCCCCAGCAAAGUUUAUGCUUCCCUUAUGGUAGGUGGAGUUGAAGACAAAGGAGAAGCCAAUCCAAGCUGUGAAAAUGUCCUUCUUGUCAUAGAUAUAGAAGCCUUGAGCUCGACCAACUGGGGUUGAGUGCAGGUUAUUGUCCAGAGUAAUGGGGUCAUCAAACACCACCAAGUCACCAAAAUGGUUUUUUCCGGCCAAAAUGGUGGUGUUGGCCCAAGCUGGUGCCCCCACAAUGGCUGCAGUUGCAUUGUGGGAGUUCUGGCCAUUGUAAAUGAUGUCAUGGAAGUAAAACACCAGCCUCUUGCAGGGGCGGCGGUGCUUGAUUCCCAGGCUGGGUGUGGCAGUGGAGGUGGAGAUGGAGAUGAGGAGGAGGAGGAGGAGAAGGAGGAGAGCUGAACUGACCUUUGUAUGAGCUCCCAUUUCUAGUGAAUUCUAUUCAAGAAGUGUGUGACAUAUUGCAUAGGUCUCAUACUUAUUGUUUAUAAAGGGUGUCCAGGUGAAGUUUAAUUCUUUGAUAAAAUAUGGUUGAAGGUUGGUUUUAUGUAUCUUAUCCUUUGAUUUAAUAAGUCCUCGACCCCCCUCCAUGAUGACUUCGUGGCCACGACUAACAUGAUAGCAUGAUCAUUUGAGUACAGCAUGCUUCAGGACCCCUAGAAUAUCCAGACUCUAUCCUACUGACUCAAAAAAUUAAAAAUGAUGAGAUCAAGCUGUUGUGGUACUGGAGCAACUUGGCUUCUAAGUCUCAACCAAAUGAUGAUUUUCGGAAUGAUUUCUCGAAAAGUGUGACGUCAAAUUUUAUAAAAAGAUUUAGGUUAUUUGAUUGCAUAUAUGAUGAUCAAAAUCCAAUUCAUAAAUUGGUAUCCUGAGUCAAGAUCAUAUCUUCAAGUCAAAGCCUCAUGUUGGGAAAAAAGAUUGUUGGGCAGCAACAAUGUCUCUUUGGCUGAAGUCUAUAGGAUGUGAUUUUUACUGGAUAUUAAUUGGUUUUUAAACGUGAUUUUUAUUGGAUAUUAAUUAAUUUUCAGAUGAGAUGUUGAACGAGAAUUUCCAAGGUUUUUUUUUUUUUUUUUUUACACUAAUGAAAAUUACUCCAAUCACAAUCAUUUCCAAGUAAUGGUUUCAUCCAUUAUUUUCAGCUCCAUUACUACUUUUUCCCCUCAAUGUCUCCCUCUUUUGCACAUUCACCUACCUCUAUUAUCUCACCAUUUUUCCACAUUUAGCUGCGAUGGACCCAUUCUGAAAUUAUAAUCGAUGAUUAAAAUGGGUAAACUCAGUGAUGAUUAAGGCUAAGAUGCAUGCAUCACCAGAUUCACCACCUAACUCAUCACCGGAUUGUGUUGGUUGGUAACUAACUCCAUGUGACCUAAUCAGAUUUUGUAGCAGGUGAGUCCUCCUAGUACUACAAGACAAAGAGAAUGGUUGGUGCUAUUCAUGAUAUAGACACCAUAAAUGAGUGGUUCUGGCACACCCACUGCCCUUGCUUUAAACACCCAGUUUGUCAAAAUUGUGAUAAUUGUAUGUAAAGUUGACCUCAGGAAGGUGAUGAUGGAGAUCCUCUCAAUUCUUUUUUGUAAUUUAUUAUAUUUUCUCAUGAAAUUGAGAAAGUUAUUAAGAAUAAUUUUAUAAAUAUUUUAAGUGAAAUUUUUCUAUGAAAUAGUAAUAAACUUGUAAAAAAUAUAUAUGGUGGUUAGAGCUGGGAGGAAGAAUAAAAAUGUUGAUUAAGAAAGCUUAUGAUCUAGGAUGUGAAUAAAGGAGUAAAGAAUCAUGAGAUUUUUUGAAAACCCAAAUAAUUAAACAUGAUUCCAAUCAAUUAUUAUAUUCUCCAUGACAUAGUGAAAUGAUUCAUCAUCAUCAUGGAUGCAUGUAUAUUGGAUUAGCCAUAUUAAAACCUAGCGCACUUUUAUAUAGAAUAUUGUUUUAUUAUUGUUGUAUUAACUAACAUUGUUUGCAAGUGAGGGUAAUUUUAUGAACAAAUUCAACAACCGGCACACACCCAAUUGGAUCUUCUUAUAUAGAAAUUAUCAGAUAAUUAGCAUACUAAGUUUGACAGAAGACAAGAAUGAGAGACUCAGAUCACUGGAAGAUAGAAAAACAGGCUAUGGGAUCUGCUUAUGAUCAGCUUAUGCUUACAUUAUUCAAAGCAUGCAUUAUCAGAUAAUUUUAUGAACGAAUUCAACAACCGGCACACACCUAAUUGGAUCUUCUUAUAUAGAAAUUAUCAUAUAAUUAAUUAGCAUACCAAGUUUGACAGAAGACAAGAAUGAGAGACUCAGAUCACUGGAAGAUAGAAAAACAGGCUAUGGGGUCUGCUUAUGCUUGCAUUAUUCAAAGCAUGCAUUGAGCAAGUGGGCGGCCUAAAUCCAAUAGAAGGUAUUUUAAUGCUGAAUGCUUGAUCUUGAAGCUCCAUGACAAUGGCAUCAGUUUCAGCCAUUACCAGCACUCAUACAACUUAAUAUCCACACAGAGCCUGAAGUACACUUCCCCCUCAAACGCAUCAGUCGUCAAUGUGGCUAUGCCUCUGGCCAUGAAGAAGUCCCCAGUGCCACCCACCACUGAAAUAUCCCUAGUCUUGUUCAUCAAUGGGUCUGCUCCUGCAAAGUUUAUACUUCCUUUAUGCUCAGUAGAGUUGAAAACAAAGGAGAAGCCAAGCCAAGCAGUGAAAACAUCCUUCUUAUCAUAAAUAUAGAACCCUUGCGCCCGUCCAACUGGGGUCGAAUGCAGGUUGUUAUCCAAAGUAAUGGGGUCGUCAAAAACAACCAAGUCCCCAAAAUGGUUUUUUCCUCCCAAAAUGGUCUUGUUUCCCCAAGCAGGAGCCCCAACAAUGGCUGCAGUUGCAUUCUUGGAGUUCUUGCCAUUGUAGAUAAUGUCAUGGAAGUAGAAAACCAGACUUCUGCAAGGUCUUCGACCCCGAACCGGGCCCUUCCCCAUUGCAGAGGAUCCAAAGACAAUGAAGAUAAGGAAGAGGGCUGAAAUCAAGUUUUGGGCUCUCAUUGUUUGCUUGUUUGAAGGAGUAUAGAAGCUUGCAAGAAAUGGAAGAAGUGAAUCGUUUAAGUACACGGGAGUUUACAUUAUCCAAUCUCGUUAUAUAUAUAGGUGUUCUAACUGCUUGUUUUAUGACAAAGUAUUUCUGAUGCUUUAACUUCAAGCUUUCUGUUGAUUACUCCUCAAGAAACUAUACACAUUCUUUAAACUGUUAUCUUUCUCUUAGCUUCGUCUCUACUACUCAUCAAUAGAAAUCUAGGACCAUGUAUUGGUUCCCACAUAACGUAAAGUUUCCACAGGGAUGGAUAGAUACAUGAAAAAUGGAAACCAAUGGAUACUGCAGAUAAUUAGGAGUUUGAUUUGCAUGUAUGAUUGCACUUACAACCAUAAAAAAGUAAGCAUAAUUGUGGGCCUUUUUUGCACGGGUAAAAUAAUUUUUGUAAGUAAAUAAAAAAAAAUCAUUACAGCAAAAAUAAUUCUAAAAUUAACGCUAUUCAUGAUUUCUAUGAUUUCACAGUAAAAUUUAUCUUUAUAAAAGAUGGAUCCAAUGUAAAAGGCGAACUCAUCAUUUCAAAUGAUAAGUUUAAUAUAUAAAUUUUCAAUAUAAUCAAUAAAUCCAUAUUUUUAAAAGAGGGUUCAAACUUCAAAUUUCAAACCCAUCUCACAGGGAAAAAAAAUGCCUCAGAGGGAGGAGUAGUCCAUUACCUCUUAUGCUAGGGACACACAAGAGUAAGAAUGGUACCUGUAUAAACAAAGCCUCGAGUGAAUGUUGUCCCUGUUUAAGGGCAGAAAAAUAAUGAUUCAUUUGUGAGACUUUGCUUCGUUUACAUUCUUCUCACUCCACCUUAAAAAGCAUCUAUAUAUACAAGAAAAGCCACAACCUUAUUGUUGUGAGGAACCUGCACCAAGAAGAUGUGUGAUAUCACAAUUAUGGGAUUGUUUAAUUUUAAAAAAAAUUAUAAAAUAAAUAUAAAAAUAUGAUAAAUUUAUUUAUAUUGAAAUUUGAACCCUCUUUUUAUAUUUGCUUGUUUGGAUGGAGUGUAGACUCGACUAAAGUUAAUAGUAUACACAAAUGGAGUUUAAGACUAUAAUAGUAUUUUUGAAGAAAAAAAUGAUCAAAGUAGUUCUUCUCCUAAAAUAUUUGUCAAAUUAGUCUUUACUAUCACAUGCUUAUUCACGUGAUUUUUUUGCUAAUUAUGGUUUUAAAUUUAAAACUAAAAUUGUUACCUUUAUAUACACAAAAUAAAAAAAAUAAAAAAAAUUGAAUUUGGUGUUGUACAAACAUACUAUUUUGACAAAUAUUUGAGAUUAGAUAGUGAAUUUUUUUUUUUUUUUUUUUUCACAAAAAACCAAGUUAAAACUCCUAGGAUGUAGGAUCGCUCUCCAUCUUUGAGUUGGUUAACAAACUCCUACCAACUCAUUAAUAGCCAUCAGAUAUGAUUGAUUAGUACUCAAGUAACAAUAAAAUUGUGCCAAACCCCAGGAAUGGGUCAUUUAAUAGUAUUGAAUGCCAUAAAAAAUUCGACCUUCUUGUUAUUAAACUUAAUCAAACAAUUAGUAUCAAAAUCGAGGAUCAUAGAUUUGAGUCGCAACAAAAUCAUGUGGGGAUUCUAAAGCUUGGAUUUGGGCUGCCUAAUUGAUGGGGAGGAUUAAAAUUUGAGUGAGUCAAUUCACCCAGGUGAAAUUAAUUUACAUCCAAAGCAGCACUUUUACACCUGUCUUCAUCCCAAUUCUCCAUAAGAUAAAUGAGUUAAUGGCACUUUUGCAUCGAUCUUCACCCCCUUAUAGUAAAUGGCAUGACCAUUCCCUCAAACUUUAGGCUGAAUGUCCCAAUCAAGCCAACUUUGCACCUAUAAUAUCGGUUACUGCUCAACCAUGCAUAUACGUGAAAUUCCAUCCAAGGGUAGCAACUUUACAUUAAUUUUCAUCCCCAUGUAAUAAUUGAGUGAAUGAUCUUUUCAAGCAGGCAUGACCAGCUCCCUCAAACUUUAGGCUGAAGGUCCCAAUCAAACCCAAAUUUUCACACCUAUUGGUUAUUGCUUGCAAUCUUAUUCUACUUAAUUGGGAGGACGCCAUUGGCCACUGGGUUGGCAAGAACUCAACUACCCCAUUACAAAGAGAUGAAGGUUUCAUUCUAAGCUCCUAACAUGUUCUUUUUAGUCUGAAAGUUUUAGUUGGUGGGCGCUCCCGAGAAGAGAGGGUGCAAACUUCACUAACCAAUGAUUUUUCAUUUUUAAGUUUCUAACAACGUAUAUGUAGGAAGACUGCAUAAUGGAUAAUAUCUACGUGAAAAAGUUAAGUCAGUAUGUUACAUACAACUAUCUUUUCGUCAUGAAUUGGUUGAGGGAUGAUGAGACAGUCUGAAGACUAUGCAAGCAUCAGCACAUGGUAAAAGUUGAUUUAGUUGAUUCAACAAAUCCUCCUAACGAAUUCAUAAUCAAUCCUUUUGUGGUCAUUUUUCUUUGGUGUAUAACCUUUUUCCACCUUAUGGUCCACUCAAUAUUCUGAGAAAUUAAAUGAGAAGUUGAAAACCUUUAUUUACUAAGCAUAUGCUGAUCAUCAGUACAUUCAUAAUGAAAUAAACCACACACUCCUUAUUUUUUCAUAGUUUUUUCUUAUCUUCACCAGCACUCAUACAACUUAAUAUCAACCCUAAGCCUGAAAUAUACUUCACCUUCAAAUGCAUCAGUCAUAAUAGUGGCAAUUCCCCUAUGCAUGAAGAAGUCUCCUGUCCCACUCACCACAGUAAUGUCCCUGGUCUUCACUAUAAUGGGGUCAGCUCCCAUGAAGUUCAAGGUGCCCUGAAAGUCUGUGCUGUUGAGAACAAAUGUGAACCCCAGCCAAGCAGUGAAGGUGUUUUUGGUGUCAUAUAUGUACAUGCCUUGUGCUCUACCAACUGGUUUGGAGUGGAAGUUGUUGUCAAGAGUAAUGGGGUCAUCAAACACCACCACAUCACCAAAAUGGAACUUAUCUGCCAAGAUGGUAAGGUUUCCCCAUUGGGGUGCACCCACAAUUGCAGAAGUGGCAUUAGCUGCAUUUUGGCCAUUGUAGAGAACAUCAUGGAAAUACAAGACCAUUUGCUUACAUGGUUUGUAUUGCUUCUUCUUGCCCUGAUAGGCAGAAGAAAAAGAGAGGAUGAACAUCAGGAAGAGAAGAACUACCAAACUCCUGGCUCCCAUUCUUCUCCUUUACUCUCUAAAACCCUAAAAAAGGAGGAGAAGAAAAUUGUAAAAGCUAUAGAUGACUGAUCAGCUUGGACUUGUGAGUGGCUUCCUAGCUCUAUAAUUGUCCUUAUAUAAGCAUUUUUUCAAUUGAGUCUUCUGUGGAAGAUGAUGGCUUAAAACAAAAGCUAUCUUUUUCACUUACAGUAUUUCCAAAAGUAAGGCCAAGAAAGAAUUAUUUAGCCGCCCCAUUGGACUUCUCAUCUUUCAAUUUUCUCAAGUCUGCCGAUACACUACCGCACUACCUACUACUUCUGAGUUAUCAGCACCAAGUUAUCCUAACAUUAAUUACACAUUUAACCCUUGUUACAUUUUUACUUCAUUUCCCAAGAGCUAUAACAAGAAAGGGUUUAGGGUUUAGGAUAAGGGAAUCAUUCCUUUUAUGGGAUUGUAAAUAUUCAUUUCACACUCGGAAUGAACUCCAACAUGGGUCUUAAUUAUUUUGAGAAAUCUCAUUCCUCCAAAUUAAGGAAGAUAUCGAUUCCCUUUCUUUUGGGAAUGGGUAUUUGAUAUCGAAUAGGUAUCCUAGAUUAUUAUUUUUUUCCAAAACAUAAUGCAUUGUUUCCAAGGCUUUAUUAUAAUUGUGAGCCACACAUCUGUCAAGUUUGGACAAGAGCAAUGAACUUGAUGAGAUAUAUAUAUAUAUAUAUAUAUAUAUAUAUAUUGACUGUCGAAUUGGAGAAUCUUCCAAGCUAGCUGGCUAUGCUCUUUUUUCCUAGGCCAUUGACAGUGAUCGAACAAGAGUGGAGACUAAAGCUAAAACUGUAGGGUUCCCUGGAAAGGAAUGCAUAAAGUCUGAACCCACCUUCCCAAUAGGUUAAUGCAACCAAAGCUUGGCGGGAUAGUGUGAAGAUUAAAGUGUAUUGGUUUUAGGGAUUAGAAAUGGCUUGGUUGAAAGUAUGUUAUAAUGAGGCAAAUACAAAUGGUAUAGCAUAAAUAUUUUUAUUAAAAAAAAAAAAGAAGUAUUUUUGAAGAGAAAAAAAGGAGGUAAUUUGAUAAAUGAAAUAUUUUCUUAGUAUCUCUAGUUGUAUUGACAAGCCUAGCUAAAGCUUCAUAACCUCAAGUCCCACCAAGCAAACACAAAGAGGAAGGCAGCCCAUGUGACCUCCAAAAAUUAGAAAUUACUUAUGGAGUACCCAUUCUUAUCAGGCGCCUUAGAAAAUAUGAAAUAAAGGCAAGUACAAUUACAUUUAUUUAUUUAUUAUUUAAGGUAAAUAAACCAAUCAUACAAUAAGGUUUGGUUUGAAAUUUAUUUUUUUUUGAAAACAAGAUUGGAAAAUAAUUUUUAGAAGCUAUUUAUAGUUUAUAUGAUAAAAGUCUAUUUGAGAACUCAAAUAUUUUUACUUAUUUUUUUUAUUUUUAAAUAUAUUUUAAAAAUAACUUUUAUCUAUAAUAUUUUAUUUUGAAUUAUUUUUUAUAUCUGUAUAAUUAUUUGUUAACCAUGUAAAAAUAACAAAAAACAAUUAAAAUUUAUUUUCUUAAAAUUAUUUUUUGUUUUUUGUUUUUUAUUUUUUAUUUAAAAUAAAAAAUUAUUUUCGAAGGUAACUUUCCAUGGAACUGUGCAUGAAUUUCAUUUGAUAGUGUCUUAUUUUGGAAUCUUAAUUAACUAUAUUGACAAAGGCAACCACCUAGAAGAGUAGUAUAACCUUUUAUGUCAUUUAGGAGUCGUAAUUUGUGUUGCUAGAUCGUGUUUGUAUAGUAUCAAAACCCGAGUAUUCUAUUACAUAACUCAACCUAAAUCUGACGUGAAUAAAAAUUGUGUCAAAUACUACAUAAUUAUUAAAUAGGUAAUAGAUCAUAUAACUUAUUUAAUCUAUCUAAUAAUCAAGUCUUUAUAUUUAAUAAUUAAGUUGAGUUGGGUAUUAUAUAUGUAAUUAAUGUUUCAACCAAACAUAUUUAUGGUUUAAUUGACUUAUUUUUUGAAAAACAAAUUUAAAAUGAAUGGAAUAUAGAUUAAAUAAUUUAAAUAUGUAUAUAAUUAAAUAAAUAAUAAAAUUAUAAUUAUAUGAGUCAAUUCAGAUUAAAUUUAUAUUGUACAUAUUAAUCCAAAAAUUACUUAUUUAUUAAAUAAAUUAUAUAAAUUUAUAUGAAUUUAACCCAAAUUCAUUCAAUCCUUAUCCAAAUCCUUGAAAAACGUACUGGAUUCCUGUGGUGAUUACUGAAUGUGUCAAACUUUAUCACCCCGUCAUUCAAUAAAAUUUCCAAAUGGGAUAGCCACUUCGCAUGGAAAGAAUUACACUCCGUAUGUUUUUCUGGGCACCCUCGUAAAAGCAAACAGACAAAACAAACCAACGUGCCCAGGAAUUCAAACCAAGUAGACUAGUUUAUAUCCUGUAUCCCAACAUUCAACCGAUCCCAUCUCAUCAGCCUGCACUUUCCUUGAAAUUGUGCGUGAGAAAAAGGAGGAAAAAAUGCCUUGACUCCUGCAAAAAUCCCCAAGAAAAUAAGUGGAGAGAGAAGUACAAAUGGAAACAGUGGAGCAGUUUCCAUGGGGAGAGAAAUAGAGAUGAAAAUUCAAAAUGUUUCUACAUCAAUCAUUGUGGUGAUGGGUUGGAAAAUAGAAGAUGUGGGACUGGAAAGUGUGACCGUGAAAAUUGUAACAUGUUACAUAUCCAAAAUGCCUUUUCAACGCUCGCGUGUGGGAAAAUGUAGGGCCCCAGACCCUUUAACUCCUUUUCACUACGAGCUAGCUAGACUAAUGGCUCAGCCACUCCAUUAUGGAUGGCCUAACUGAUGGGGAGGAUGAAAUUUUGAGUGAGUCAAUAUUCACCCAUGUGAAAUUAAUUUACAUCCAAAGCAGCACCUUCACACCUGUCUUCAUUCCACUUCCCCUUAAAGAUAAAGAAGUUAAUGGCACUUUUACAUCAAUCUUCACCCCCAUAGAGUAAGUGAAAUUCCAUCCACAGGUAGCAACUUUACAUUAAUCUUCAUCCCCAUAUAAUAAUUGAGUGAGGUCCAUUCAAGCCCAAUUUUUCAAUCCUAUUGGUUAUCACUUGCAAUCUUAUUCUACUUAAUUGGGAGAAUGCCAUUGACAACUUGGGUUGGAUAGAACUCAACUACCCCAUUACAAAGAGAUGAAAGGUUUCAUUCUAAGCUCCUAGCAUGUUCUUUUCAAUCUGAAAGGUCUAGUUGGUGGGCUCUCGAGAAGAGAGGGUGAAAACUUCACUAACCAAUGAUUUUCAUUUGUAAGUUUCUAAUACUGUAUAUGUAGGAAAGCUGUAGAAUAGACAAUAUCUACCUGAAAAAGGUAAGUCAUUAUGUUACAACCUACAACUAUCUUUUCGUCAUGAAUCGGUUGAGGGAUGAUGAGACAGGCUCAAGGCUAUGCAAGCAUCGGCACAUGGUAAAAGUUGAUUUAGUUGAGCUAUCAACCUUAAGGAAAGAUGGCUUUUGUGCAUGCAUGGUAAAAGUGGAUUGAUUCAACAAAUCCUCCUAACGAAUUCAUAAUCAAUCCUUUUGUGGCCAUUUUUCUUUGGUGUAUAACCUUUUUCCACCUUAUGAUACACUCAAUAUUCUGAGAAAUUAAAUGAGAAGUUGAAAACCUUUAUUCACUAAGCAUAUGCUGAUCAUCAGUUACAUUCAUAAUGAAAUAAACCACACACUCCUUAUUCUUUCAUAGUUUUUUCCUAUCUUCACCAGCACUCAUACAACUUAAUAUCAACCCUAAGCCUGAAAUAUACGUCACCUUCAAAUGCAUCAGUCAUAAUAGUGGCAAUUCCCCUAUGCAUGAAGAAGUCUCCUGUCCCACUCACCACAGUAAUGUCCCUGGUCUUCACCAUAAUGGGGUCAGCUCCCAUGAAGUUCAAGGUGCCCUGAAAGUCUGUGCUGUUGAGAACAAAUGUGAACCCCAGCCAAGAAGUGAAGGUGUUUUUGGUGUCAUAUAUGUACAUGCCUUGUGCUCUACCAACUGGUUUGGAGUGGAAGUUGUUGUCAAGAGUAAUGGGGUCAUCAAAAACCACCACAUUGCCAAAAUGGAACUUAUCUGCCAAGAUGGUAAGGUUUCCCCAUUGGGGUGCACCCACAAUUGCAGAAGUGGCAUUAGCUGCAUUUUGGCCAUUGUAGAGAACAUCAUGGAAAUACAAGACCAUUUGCUUACAUGGUUUGUAUUGCUUCUUCUUGCCCUGAUAGGCAGAAGAAAAAGAGAGGAUGAGCAUCAGGAAGAGAAGAACUACCAAACUCCUGGCUCCCAUUCUUCUCCUUCACUCUCUAAAACCCUAAAGGAGGAGAAGAAAAUUGUAAAAGCUAUAGAUGACUGAUCAGCUUGGACUUGUGAGUGGCUUCCUAGCUCUCUACUUGUCCUUUUAUAAGCAUUUUUUCCAAUUGGCCCCCCUUCUGUGGAAGAUGAUGGCUUAAGAACAAAAACUACCAUUUUCACUUACAAAAUUUCCGAAUGUAAGGCCCAAGAAGGGUUAGCCUCCCCAUUGGAUUUCUCAUUUUUUCAAUUUUCUCAACUCUACCUAUACACUACCUACUACUGAGUUAUCAGCACCAAGUUUGACCGUAGGGGGAUCCUAACAAUAUUGAUUACACAUUUAACAAUUAUUACAUUUUUACUUCAUUUCCCAAGAGCUAUAACAAGAAAGGGAAUCAUUCCUUUUAUGGGAUUGUAAAUAUUUACCUCACAAUUGGAAUGAAUUUGAACAUGGGUCCUAAUUAUUUUUGAAGAAAAAAAAUGAGGUAAUUUGAUAAAUGAAAUAUUUUCUUAAUAUCUCUAAUUGUCUUGAGUCUUGACAAGCCUCGAGUCCCACCAAGCAUUUACAAAGAGGAAGCCAGCCCAUAUCCUCUAGGGUAGACCCAAAAGUCCUCUCCCCACAGAAUCAAAGAAAUUAUAAGUACCAUGUGACCUAUAAAAAUCAGAAAUUAUAUAUAUCAAUGUGCGUGGCCAAUUAUUCUCUUCAUCACCGACUUGUAUCAUUCCCUUUUCUGGUUGAGUAUUGGUGGGGUUAGGUGUUGAUUUUGAUUUUGGGUGAUGUGGCCCUAGUGAGAAUGGACCGACUUUCUGUUUUUUAAUGGUUGGUAAGCUCCUCUUGUUAAACUUGUACCAUUUAUCUAAAGUUUAUAUCUUUAUAGUAGCUUGGUUUGAAAAUUCAAAGUCAAUAGAAAAUUUAUGGGUGAGAUUGUAAGCCACCAGAAAAUUAGACAUCAAUGUCUAUGAACACGGCACGUUGACUAGGCUAAAUUGAUAUUUUUCUUGAAUUUUAACUUUUUAAAGUAUGAGUCUAUUUAAAGGUAAUUUUGAAUGAUGAAAAGUGUUUUAAUUUUUUUUUUUUAAAAAAAAAUCAUAUCUAAAAGUGCUUAUAAUAUAAAAUCACCCUAAAUCUCCUAAUUUUUGUAGGCUUACUAUAAAUAUUUGAAUGUUUUUUUUUUAUUUAUGGCUACAUCUAUUUUUUUUUUAAUACUAUAUCUAUUUUUAAUUUUUAAAUUAAUAAUAAAAAAAAUAAAAUAAAAUAGCCGAUGAGAUGACAUAAAAAAAAAAAAAACAUUUACUUAAUUUCUACUGACUUUCCUUGAUUAAAUACAUUUCAUUCUCAUCAGAGUUGAAUGAAAUUAAUUUUAAUAUUUAUAAUUCACAUUAAAAUAAAUUUUAUUUAUUUUUAUAUAAUUCAUAAUAGAGUUUAAAAAAUUUUAAAUAAAGAAAAAAAUAAUUUUAUAUAGAUAGAUUUAAUAAUUUUUUUAUAAAAAUAAUUAUAUUUUUUUGGAGUGAAUUUUAUAAAAUAUAUUUAUUUUUAUUUAAAAAAAAAAAACUAACUAAAUAAAAUGAUUAGUAAAGGCGGUGGGUUGGUGAGGAAAAAUUAAACAAGUGAUGUACUAAGCAUAACCAAAAAGUCCCACCUUUCCCAAUGUGGAUUUGUGUGACAUUAAAAAAAAUUAUUUAUUUUAUUUAUGAACAGAAAGAGGUUUAAAAGAUGUAUUAAAUUUUUCAUUCACAUAAUUAUUGGUCAAAUUAAAAAUAAUUUCUAGGUGGAAGACUUUUGAAGUUUCAAAAAGGAAAAUAACGGAUUAGAAUUUGUUUUAAAAGGAAAAUAUCUUAUUUUUUUCAAUAGUCUAAUAAAUUAAUUUUAAUAUAUCUAUGAUUAAAAAAGAAUAGAUUAAUUAUAUUUUUUAAUCCAUUAAAAUAAAUUACUUCUAAUACAAAAAUUAACGAUUUUAUGAUAAUUAAUAGUCCAAUAAAAGAAUAUGAUAAUUUAUAUGACCUUCCAAUAUAAUAUAUUUAUUUGUGAAAACAAAACAAUUUUAAAAAGUAUUUUUACUUUAUUUUUUGGAUUCGAUUUUAGUAAAAUAGAAAUAUGUUAAGAUAUUGAUAAAAGGCUUAAGUCCCAUCUAAUAACUUGAUGGUUUGAAAUUCUGCUUUAAAAUAUUUAUUGAUAUUUUCGAUAUAUUCAUAAAAUUUAAUAUAUUUAUAGCCAUAAAAAAGUGAUUUUAAAAUUAAUAGAAGUAUUUUUUUUAUAAUUAUUUAGAUAUGUUUUCUUUGGAAAUUAUGUGUUUAAUAAAUUUAAAAAAAAAUUGUAAACCAAUGGAGAAAAUAUUUUUAGUUUUUGCUAAUUAAGAAAAAAAAUAUAGAUUUCAAGUGAGAAUUGUUUCUUAAAAAGGGCAAAAAUUGGCUCUUAAAGAGAAAAUAAUUUUUGUUUGGAUUCUUCUUUUUUUUUUUAAAGAAUUUUUAACCAAUCAUCUCUUCAAAGAUGAAUUUUCCUUUUUAAGAACUUUUAGAAAUUGUUUGAAUUUUAUCUAUUUAAAAAAAAAAGAGGAGAAAUCAUCUCUUCAAUAGAAUAAUGCCUUAGAUUUUUUUAUUAUUUAAAUAUAGUUUGACAUUUAAUUUGAAAAAAAAUAAAAUCUAAGGCAUUAUUCUUAUAAAAGAAAAUUCGUCUUUGAAGAGAUGAUUGGUUAAAAAUUCUUAAAAGAAAGAAUCCGAACAAAAAUUAUUUUCUUUUUAAGAGACAAUUUUUGUCAUUUUUAAGAAAUAAUUCUGGUCUGAAAUCCAAUUUUUUUUCCUAAUUAGCAAAAACUAAAAAUAUUUUCUCCACUAGUCUACAAAAUAAUAAUAAUAAUAAUAAUAAUAAUAAUUUAUUAAACACAUGAUUUUCGAAGAAAACAUAUCUAAAUAAUUACAAAAAAAAAAAAACUUCUAAUAAUAUCAAAAUCACUUUUUAUGGGCAUGAAUUUAUAACAAUGUUUAUAAAAAAUUUCAAACACCUCAUUUUUAAUUGUUUUAUUUACAAGAUAAGCCCUACAACCCUCAAAUGGUCAAACUCCAAACAGCCCGAUCGGCCCCCAAGAGCCCGACCGCGCUCCUAAAGCUCAUCAAAUCAAAGUUUCUUCUUCCUUCUGAAGAGUUCCUUUUUGAGUUUUUACCUCCAACCAAAACUACCGACAACAAAUAAUUGUUAAAUUAAUGCAUCUCAACCACUUCAACGUGUCCACCCGAGAAAUCAAACAUACUUAUAUAACUUCGAUAAAGGACAAUCAUAUCAUUAUACGAUCUUUGUAUCUACCUCUAAAAUAUUUAUAAACAUAUUUCUCACAAUUUUUCUUAUUUUUUAAAAAAGAAAAUAUAAUAUUAUAAUAAAAUAUAAAUAUAAGAAAUCUUGUAUGUAGUAUUCUUUUUUUAUAAAAAAAACCUCUAUAUCAAAUUUGGAAUUUGAGACGUUACUAAGAAGGGAGGAGUAUUUUUUAAUGUUUAAAAGUAUUUUCUUAUAAAAAUUGGGUGUUUGAUAAGCUUUUAAAAACGUAAAAAUGAAUGAUUUAUGUAUAAUCACUUGGCUAGUGAUUCUUAAAAUGAUAAUUUUUUAUUUAAUAUAUUAUCAGAAAUUUUUCUUCAAAACUUUUCUAAUGAAAUAUUAUUAGUUAAAAAAUACUAUAUUUAAUUAGAUCACCCUCUAAAUAUGAUAUUGUAGACCCCCCAUGAGAGGGCUUAUGUUUUUUUUUAUUAUUAUUAUUUUUAUAUAUUUCUUUUCUCUGACCACCCCGGGAUUUAUGCUGAUGGGGGCGGCCAGAUUAGAUGGAGAGGCAGCGGGUAGGUCAAGAGAACCAGGCUGGCUGACUGGUGGGUGAUGGGGGGGAGAGCAAGUUGAGGCUUGCUAAGGAAGCCAAGGAGAAAAGGAAGGAGAAGGGGGGAUUCGCAGAGGGAGUUUUGGGAGGGGGAGCAAACAGAAGAGGAAAAAGGGCUUGCCAGCGAAGAAGGAAGAGUAGAGGGAGGUCACGCGGGAGGCUUUCAGGUAAGAAUAUCUUGAACUUGAGGCACCCACAUUUGCUAAUGUCUGGUAUAUUUUCUAUCGAUCUGUGAAUAUGUCUCUGUUGCUUGCUGUGGGCACUGAGGGCCACAGGUGUGGUUCUGAUUGAAUGGGGUCACUUGAACGAAAGGCUCUGUUCUCUUUUGUUGUUUCUCGUUGAUGCCUAUUUUUGUGUACAUGCAUGGCUAUCCAAUGCUCUGCCCAGAAUUCAUUUUUUUAAUACCCUAAAAUUCCCCCGCUCCCGUGCAUGGAGCUUUAUGUACACGGUCGUCUUCGCCCUCUUAUCCUCCACUUCUUCCAUAGUGUCUAUACAUAUCACCUCUCUUCAAGACCCAGCUUCCAGAUUUUCCUUUCCCCCAUCACCUUUUCUCUCUCCGUAUUAUCACCAUACCCAUACCAUGCCCGUUUUCCAUUAACACCUACCCCGGCCAUGGGUUCUACUACCAUGCUUCUCGCCCUAUUCUUCCUCUCCUUGCUCACCAUUGUGCCCAAAGUUCAAGCAGCCUUCACCCGUGACUCCGCCACCAGAUCCGCCACUCGCAGCGUUCUCAUCAGCUGCGUCUCUCCCAGCAGCAGCAGCCGCGCCUUGAGGUCGCGAGCUGGUUCUCCCCGACGCCGGCAUGUGGUUCGCCAUGCAUUGCUCCGACCAGGUGAGCAGCCGCGCCAGUCGUCGCCGACGGCGGCAACGUCUCUUGGUGCCGCCGGCAGUAAGAGCUCCAUCGGAGGGCGACUUCCAGGCGGGAGGAGGAGAUGUGGAGAAGACGAAGGCUUGGUUUUUGGGCUUGGGCUAAGGCUAGGCCCAGUUUUGAGUUUGGUUUUGGGUUUGGAUUAUGAAGGCUUUGGGCUUGGGUUUGAAUUUGGAGCCCAGGCCCAAGCCUAUGCUGAAGAUGGGGCCUUUGACUUGAGCCCAUUUCUAUUAUUGCCAUAAUUAUUAUUAUUAUAUUUUUUUAAUUAUUAUUGUCAUUAUGAUUGUUACUAUUAUUAUUAAUCAUUAUAUUUAUUACUAUUAUUAUUAAUCAUUAUUAUCAUUUAUAAUUAUUAUUAUUAUUAUCAUUAAUUACUAUUGUCAUUGCUAUCAUUAUUAUUAUUAUUAUUAUUGUCAUUAUGAUUGUUACUAUUAUUAUUAAUCAUUGUUAUCAUUAUAUUUAUUAUUGUUAUUAUUAAUCAUUAUUAUCAUUGUUAUUAUUAUUAUUAUUAUUAUCAUCUUUUAUUAUUAUUAUUAUUAUAAUUAAUUCAACAUUUAAAAUAUUAUUAUCAUCAUUAUUAUUAAUUCAACAUUUAAAAUAUUAUUAUUAUCACUAUCAUCAAUCCAAACUUUCAAAACCCUAUAAUUAUUAUUACUAACCCAAAUUUCCAAAUUUAUUUAUUAUUAUUUAUUAUUAUCAUUAAUCCAAAUUUCAAAAGCUAUUUAUUAUUGUUAUCCUUAUCAUUAAACCCAAACCUCCAAGAUCUCAUCAUUAUUAUUAUAAUUAACUCAACUUUCGAAAUUUAUUUAUUGUUAUUAUCAUCAUUAAUCCAAGCUUUCAAAAAUCUCAUCAUUAUUGUUAUUAUUACCUCCACUUUCAAAAUCUUAUUUUCAUCAUUAUCAUUGAUUAAAACUUUCAAAACCUUAUUGUUAUUAUUAAUUCAAACUUUCUAACUUUCAAUUUCCGAGCCCAAUUUAUAAAAAUUCAACCUUCAAAUGAUACUCCAAAAUUCCGAUCUUUAAAACUCAAUUUCGAUUUCCGAAAAUUCUCAUACUCACUUUAAUUUAUUUAAUUAUUAUUAUCUUAUUUAUUUAUUCUAAAAUUCCAAUUUAAAUUAAUUCUUUAAAACUUCUGAUUUCCGAAUUAAAUUCCCAAUCCCAAAAAUUCUCAUAUUCCCACUAAAUUAUUUGAUCAUUAGUAUUUUAUUUAUUCAUUUAUUUCAAAACUCCAUUUUAAAUCAAAUUCUUUAAAACCGUUGAUUUCCGAAUUAAAUUCCCAAACCCGAAAAUUCCAAUAUUCACAUUAAUCUAUUUAAUUAUUUUAUUUUAUUUAUUUAUUCUAAAAUUCCAUUUUAAACAAUUCUUUAAAAACUUUCGAAUUCCGAAUUUAAUUUCUAUUUCUGAAAAUUCUAAUAUUCACUUUAAUCUAUUUAAUUAUUAUUAUUUUAUGUAUUUAUUCUAAAAUCCCAUUUUAAACAAUUCAUUAAAAUUUCCCACUUCCGAUUUUAAUUUCUAAUUCCAAAAAUUCCGAUAUUCACAUUAAUCUAUUUAAUUAUCUUAUUUUAUUUAUUUAUUCUAUUUUAAACGAUUCAUUUUAAAACUUUCGAUUUUCGAAUUAAAUUUCUAUUUCUGAAAAUUCCAAUAUUCACAUUAAUUUAUUGUUAUUAUUUUAUUUAUUUCUUCUAAAAUUCCAUUUUAAACAGUUCAUUUAAAACUUUCGACUUCCGAAUUAAAUUUCUAUUUCUGAAAAUUCCAAUAUUCACAUUAAUUUAUUUAAUUAUUAUUAUUAAACAAUUCGGUUAAAUUUUCCAUUCCCGAUUUUAAUUUCUAAUUCCAAAAAUUCCAAUAUUCACAUUAAUUUAUUUAAUUAUUAUUAAUUUAUUUAUUUAUUCUAAAAUUCCAUUUUUAAACAAUUCAUUAAAAUUUCCGUUUCCGCUAAUUCCAAAAUUCCAACAUUCACAUUAAUCUAUUUAACUAUUAUUAUUUUAUUUAUUUAUUCUAAAAGUUCAUUUUAAACAAUUCAUUAAAAUUUCCAACUCCCAAUUUAAUUUCUAAUUCCAAAAUUCCAAAACUCACAUUAAUCUAUUCAAUUAUUAUUACUUUAGCUCUUUAUUUCGAAAUUCCAUUUUAAACAUCCUUCAAAAUUCCAAUUUCUAAACUUAAUUUCCAAUUUCCAAAAUUUUAAUUUCUUUCAAAUUUAAUAUCCAAAAUACCAAUUCUUAAAUUUAAUUUUUCAAGACUCUAAUCUUAAAAUAAUUUUCGAGACUCUAAUUUCCAAAUAAAUCUCAAAAACCCAGUUCUCUCUCGAAUAGUUUUAAUUUCACCCCGAUUUUUAAAUAAUGUUCUAUUUCUUUUGAUUUUUACACAAGCAAGAAUGAUGAAUCUUCAUAAUUCCGAAAUAAUGGGAUUCGUGAGAUUAAUUCAUGCAAUAUAAAUCGGUUUUUGGUGGGGGCCUAGCAUAUGUGAUUUCCUUAUGAUUGAUUGAUUGUUUGUUUGAUUUAAUUGUCAUGCAUGAUCGGUUUUAUUUCGCUCUAUGACAUGCUCAAAAUUAUUCCUUAAUGGUGCGCUAAUCUCACUUCUUGAUAGCGCUUUAUGGAUCACUGCCCAGGUACGCAUCCACAUCCACCCUAGUCAGUUUCUGUAUGCAUGUUUAGAUUCUCACGUGUGCAUGAUCACUCUGAGUAUUCAUUGAUUCCCUCGUCAAUUGCCAUUGAUUGCUUUAUUUUAUUAGUAGAGACCCGACUUUAGGGACUUAGAGGGGUGCUACGGUCUUUACCGUACCUUCCCGAUAAGUAACCUGACCCCCGAACCCGAUUCGGUUUUUUCACAGACCACCUUUUCCAAAGUAAGGAGUCACACUUAGGGUUUUUCUUUCUUAUUUUGUUUACCCUUUUAAAAAUAAAACAAAAAUAAGUGGCGACUCCGAGUCAACUCUUUUUAAUAAAUAAAAUCAUUUUCAAACCAAAAUCGAGUUUCGCCAUCGAGUGGGAAACGCAUUGAGCCGAAAUGCGGGGUCCACAGAUAUAUUUCAUCUCAACCCGAAGUCAAGAAAAUAAAAGCAAAAAAUCAAAUAGGUAUGAAACUUAGGAUUCCUUUGGAUCAUGGAGAGUUAGGAGCAAGAGAAAGAAAAUAAGUAAAAAAAUAUGACAAAAGUAAAAAUAAAUAAAUAAUAAAAUGUGAGCAACAAGAAUAAUGAAAUAUUAAUGCUUGAAGGAUAGGAUAGGAAAGGUGAGGAGAUCCAAAGAAAAAAGGUAGGAGAGCCGGUGAUACUUGUCCCACAAUGGGGACAAAAGACUUGAAAGCACUUAGAAAGAACUUUCGAGAUGGACCAAAAACUCUAGAAAACUUAUACCCAAAGUAAACUUAGAAUCUGUUUAGUGAUGAUUUUAAGAAGCAUUUUUAAUUUUUUUAAUAUUUAAAAAUUUUUAUUUUUUAAAAUAUUAAAAAUGUUAAAAACGUUUUUUAUAAUCAAUUUCAAACACACUCUUAAACUCAUCGCUCUAUAAAUGUUUCUCAGUUAUACAAUUACUCAAGUUUGAGCCUCAUUAAUCUAUAAAACUCAAUAAGAAAUGCUUUUAUAAAUAAGAAUGACAAGGCGGGUUUAGGAUGCCUCCAUCCCAACCCCGCCCUGUUAAUUCAAAACAAUUCUUAUCCCCUUUCUAUUUAAAAAAUUAAACAGGGCAGGGUGGGACGAGGCGGGUAUUAUAAAUUCCCAUACCCAUCCCAUUUAACUUUUUUUUUUUUUUUAAAUAUUACUUUUAAAAUUUUUAAUUACAUUAAAAUAAAUAUAUUUUAUAAAUAAUUAAAUUAUUAUGUUUUUUACAACUUAUUUUAUUAUUAUCUAUAUAUUAAAAAUAGUAAAAUAAAAAUUAAAUUAAUUUAAUUUUAAAAUUUAAAUUUAAUUUAAUUUUAAAAUUAAUUUUAUAUAUAAUUGAGGCCGGGCGGGACAAAACGGGCCCGAACCUGCCUUGAGUUUUUAAAAAAAAAUCUCAAACUCGUCCUAAACUCGUUUAUUAAAAUUGAACUCCGUCUCAUUAGGGAUGUGAUGAGGCGAAUACAUGAAAAAACUCACGCUAUUGUCAUCCCUAUCUAUAAAUCUAUACUAGUCAACUUUUGCUCUCCAUCAUAUGCUCAUGGAGAUAUAAUGCACUACAUGGUGGUAGACCCCUCAAUGGUGAUGCACCCUUCCUUUCAAUCUUGUCAAAUUGAAAUUAGUGUAUCGAAACCUAUGGAACCUCAAUGAGCCUCUGACUCCAUUCAUCAAACACAUCCAUAAGAAAUGAGAUAAUAGUGUAUGCAAACCAUUAAGUCUAACACCAUCUCAUAGAAAAUCAAUUUGAUGUUAAUACUAUCAAGUAUUAAAGAUGUUAAAACUUUUCGUUGAAUGACUAGAUGAACUUAGUAGAAGUGGACAACUUGCCUUGCCCUAAUAUUUGUAGUCUUUCUUUGAGGUUCCUUGAGGAGCUUAAGUUUAGUUGGGUGGGAUUAAGUUUUUUUUUUUCCCAUCAAAGACAUACGUCAACACAACUAUUGUGAGAGUGUUGAGUUGGUGCCACCCAUUCAAAUGUGGUGAGGUCUAUUGAUGCAGUAAGGGUCAAAAGGUCACCUCCAUGAAUUGAAAGAGGUGACACUAACAACCUAGCUACCCCCUUCCCUUGUAUGAUAAAAGUGAUACCCAAUCACCUAAAUGUGUUGAAGUAUACUUUUUCACCCUUUGUCGUAGGCAAUUAGUCCUGCAAGGAAAAAAAAAAGUUAUAUUUAGCAUAUAUUUCCUUUACUUCAAAAAAAAUGUCUUAAAAGGGCAAUAAUGACAUAUAAACCUUAGGUGAGAGCAAGAUUGACAUUUGUGAAAUUUGUUAAAUGCUACCUUGAAAUAUGAGGAAGCAAACUUUACAUAAAUAUAUAAGUCAAGGCAUAUUUAAUAUGAAUAUAUGUUAUUAUUAAUGUGUUUGACAUAUAACUUAAAAGUGAAGAAAAAACUCAUUUUAAUAUACACACAAGUGACAUCUAACCUAACAUGGGAUACAAUGUUGAGCCCACUUGUGAGAAUAUUAAAUGCAUAAAGUUAUGCAAAUAAAGAAUUAUUGGAAUGAGUCAUUAAUAAUGCAACAUGUCAUAUUACAACAACAUGACAUAUAUAUACGAUAAAUUUCUUUAUACUCAUGGGUAUAAAGAAAGUUUAUCGUAUACUCAUCUAUGAGGAAAAUCCUCUAAGUGUCUACACUUAUGUCAAAUGCAAUUUCAAGUACCUGACAUAAGAUACAUUGAUGAUGAGCCCACAUGUGGAGAUAUGAAUCACAUAGAGUUAUGCAAAUGAAGAACCAUUAGCAAUGCAACAUGUCACCUUACUACGACAUGACAUAAGCUAUGUUCAUAUGGAGUGUACGGAAUUAGGCAUUAAUAAAAUUUAAUAAUUUUUAUGUCAUGUUUUUAGAAUUGUAUCCGCUUGUAUAUGGAAAAUAUCAAAUUUAGAUACAAGAGACUUUAAGUGGAUUUCUUCCUAUUUUAUUUUCCCCUAUAACAAAAGAUUUUGGGAUUCUUUCAUAUUUGAUUUUCUUUUCUUCAUACUUUAUAUAAUCCGAAGGAAGCCAAAGGCUUGCUAACUUUAUAAAGAAAGUUAACAUACUAAAUGAGGAACCUUUAUGUUGAAUUUAUCAUCUCACAGUUUCAUAAUCAAAAUUUUCUUAGUCUAUAAUCUCAUUCUUGAUAAAACCCAUCUUCUUUUAUCUCAUUUGUGUGACUUUUUAUUUAUUUUUAAGUAAAACCCAAAUAGUAAUUUCUUCAUUGAUUUAGGCAUCCAUGGUGGUGGGCUCUUUUCAUACUUUCCUUUAUUUUCCUUUAUUUUCCUUUUUUUUUUUAAUUCCCUUUUAGAAAAUAAUAAAAGAAAUUAAUGCAAUAAAGGUUUUAUGGGAAGAUCAAGAACAUGGGUUAGAACUGAAGUCGGAUACAUAUAACACACACAAUUGAUUCCCUAAAUUUUUAGAAAAUCAAAUCCAUAUCCAUUGUGUGACAGUCUAUCCAUGGCCAUUGCUAACCAAGUGUCCCCAUCUUGGAUUGAGUUGGAGAUAAAGGACUAGCAACACAGACCCAUCACAUGCAACUCCUUUGGGAACGUAAGGGGCCUUUCAUAGCCUACCCAUCUCCCAUUUGUCCUAGUUUCAGAAAUAGUAUGGUCAUUAGUUUGAUCUCCAGCACACUGGUGCAUGCUCAAAGCCCUAAUUCUUCCUAGCUAUGUAAAAUGGCUGCCUCAUGCCUUUCAGUUUCAUUCAACUCAGUCACCCCUGCAUGCGCACAUGGAUUGCAUUAUGUUUACUGGCUUCGAGUACUUGGUAAUUCUUUUUUAGAAUACAAAAUCCAGAUUACCUUUUGGCCAUUGGGUACUGCAUGCAAAAUUUCAUAUAAGAUAUAAAAUAUUUUAUUCUAUUUUUUGAAGUCACAAAAUUGUAGUUCUAUGUGGUUUUGAAUUUUUCUAAAACAUAAGACUAUAGUUGGUAACGAUGAUUUUAAAAUUAUCUUUAAUACGAUAAUCGUCAAUUAUAAUUUUAGACUUAAAUUUAAAACAGUAAUUGAUAAUUACGGUUUUGAUCCUUUUUUUAAUAAAUAAAUAAAUAAAUAAAUAAAAAUAAAAACCUCAUGACCAUAAUUACUAAUUAUGGUUUUGAGACAUCCCGGAUGAGAAUCACUAGCUUGGAAAGUAUUUUCAAGCUAGCAAUCUCUCCUUCGCCUAGCCUUGAAGUUGCUGGUCACAAGUGGUGCAUGCAUAAGAGUAUACCUUGGAAUGUCGAGAGAAAAAAUUCAAAGAAUGCAAGAAAGCUAGGGGAAUAAGGAAUUGAUUAUAUAUAUAUAUAUAAUGGGUUGAUCUGAAUUUUGACAGUACUUGUGAAGACCCUUUUCCUCAUAUUACAAUAGUUGCUCUAUUCAGCUUGGCCUAAAAGUUCCAUUCUUCAUCAAUGUCUUGAGGCUAAAUGUGGAGAUUAUGUAAGCAAAAAAUAAAAAAAAUGGAUAAAUGGAUUUAAACUAAAUUGAUCAUAUUGGUUCCAUUUUCAAUAAUAAAAAAGGUUAGUUUAACUUAAGAAUUUUGAAAACCGAUCUUAUUAGUUCGAUUUUCAAUUUUCUUGUUUCCUAAUCGAUAAAAAUUAAAUUAAACCGAUAUUCUAAAACUUAUAUAUAAUUAUUGGAUAUUUGAUAGGUUUUUUUAUGUUAUAUCCUAUUAAAAUAACUCAUUAUUUUUAUAUUAUGAUCAAAUUAAUUCUAAAUUCAAUUACUAUAUUUUUAACAUCAAAUUCAAAUUAAUUUGAAUUAAUUUUAAAAAUAAAUUAAACUUAAAACAUAAUAUAAACUCAAAUUAAUGUGCCUUGGGUUUAAAACAAAAACAAAAUCUACAACUGGGCUAACACUAAAAGCUUGUGAAGUUGGCCUAAUCUGCCUGAAAGCCUCAAAAGCAACAUUGAAUGUAAGUUCCUUUACACCUUGUGAAUCAUCUUCUGAGAGAUCUCCAUGAGCUGCAUUGCCUUUAGACAGCCAACAGGGCAGCUAACAAAUUCAAGGUCUAAUUGAUAAUUUAACUUUGUAAAGUACCAACUCAUGUAUAUAUAUAUAGAAAGACUCAUAAUCAAAUAGAACACUUCACUCAAUUAAUCCCUUUUGUGUUUGUUAAUGGAGAAGUCUGGUAAAAAAACACAGCCUUCCCAAUGACAUUUCUGAUGUCCUAAUCUUUCCUUAUUUUGUGGGGAAAGUUCUUGAAGUCCAGCUUUUUAAAUCCAUUUCUUUACCUCAAACAUAAUUUUUAACCAUUCACAUUCUUUUGUUCUUUUGGUGACAAAGCUAUUCGGAUUUGAUGUCCUGAAAAGAACUUCAUAAAUUCAACCAUCAAUUAAAAAACCAGUCAGCAAGAACAAUGCAUCCAAAUAUUUGAUACAAAUAUACUACCAGAUGAUUCAACUCAUAACAAAGUACCCAAUAAAACAAGAAAACCCCACAAAAACACAACCCAAAUAACACAAUAUAACACCCUUUUUAUUGACUCUUUUGGAGGGAUAAUCAUGGCCUCAGAGCUGUGUCCAGCUUGGCUGCUCUGCCUUUUUAUUUAAUAUUUUUUGGGAGGAAACCAUGGAGCAUGCACAGCCAGGCAGCUUAUGCUUGAUCCUUCCUUGUUCUUUUCCACAUAAAACAAUGGUUCAAGAUUGUAAGUCUACAGAGAGCUUGGCAUCAAGGAAUCAAAUGUGAUGUAAUGUUGAACAUCAAACUUGAAAUCCAGAAGUUAACUAGGAGACAACUCAGAAUGCAGAUAUUCUAUUCAAGCUAAGCCAACAAAAGCUAAUCAGUUAGAUUCGGAAUCAGGCAAUCCUUCCUCCAGGUCUAAGGCCAAAUUUGGAGAUACACUACCAUGGUACUGUUGGAUCACCAAAACUGAUGCCGCUGUUGAGAAAUCUGUUGAAGCCAACAAACUCCCCAAAGGCCCCAAUUCUGGACACUCGCUUCUCCUAUCUAGAGGAAGGGGAAUGGCCGCCUUAUCAGGAGCUCGACCCACCAGGAACAGGUUGCAGAAACUAGCCUCACGAAUUGCAGCAAUGGUUUCUGCAGCACUUCUGACUUCUUUCUCCUCAUAUUUUAUGGAGCCAUCUUUGGAUAUCUUCUGCUUGAGCUCAGCGAGACACUCCUCAUCAGGUUUGGAAUUUCCAUCAACUAACUCAAUCCCCUCUGCAGUCUCAUGCUCAACUAAGAAGCGAAUGACCAUUAAAUUGAUACCAGGAUGCUCAGCCAUGCGAAUCCCAUAAGCAAGAGCUUCACGGUCAUCAUGGCCACCAAAGAAGAGUACUGUGAUGAAAUAAGAAACAUUACUUGCUGAUACAUGGGUGGUACCACCAAGCCCGCGGUCUACUAGGAUCCCAACUGAGCAGGCUGCAUGUUCAAGAACCCUACGGUUAACCCAACGGAAGUCUGUUCGUGUAGUCUCAAGUGAGCCAUCCACCCUCUGGUGCUUGUGGAAUGGUAGAAUGAUUAUAGCAACCCUCUUCCUAUCAGCAGUGGUACAAAUGUCCUCGUGCAUGUCAGAUAUUGAAGAUAUGGAAGUCAUUGGCCGGACAGACACUUGGCUUAGCUGCUGGAAAGCCUCAAAAGCCACAACAAUCUGGUUGGACUCUGAUCGAACACCCUUGUUCCAAAAGGGUAGUCCAUUCUUCCUCACCUUGUGUACCAUCAUUAUAGCUGACGAUCUCUCAGAGAACUCCAUUAGAUGCAUUGCAUAUAUGCAAAGUCCCUCAUGCUUGUUGGUCCCCCUUGAGGCCUCAAAGAGAUUUAUCAUUGAUGGGAUAUUUCUUGCACCAUGGAAACAUGCCAUAAUUCUAAGCUCAGUGUUUGUGUUUUUCCUUUCAACUGUUCUUUGCUUGUGGUCAGUGUUUCUUUCCCUUUUAGCUGGCUUAUACACAGCCACGACUAGAGGUGUGGUGAUAAAUGUUGUAAAAAGAGCCAUUAGAACCAUUAUGGCAAAUGUCUGGUCAUUUAAUACCUGCAAAUUCAAUCAGAAAAAACCACAGGAUGAUGUAUAGCAUAUGAUAAAAUUUUAAAAAAUCAAAGCUUCUCAACCUUCAUUAGUAAUGAAAAGGACAAUCAUAUUACCUUUCGAUCUUUACCAAUGUUGAGGACAAUGAGCUCCACCAAGCCUUUACUGUUCAUUAGGAACCCCAGUGCCAGAGCUUCACGCAGAGGCAUUUUGAAUGAAAGGGAAACCACAACAGUGCCCACAAUUUUCCCAAUGCAGGCUGUAAAUAUGACCAAGACCAGGAGAGCCCAUGACUGAAGCCCUUGAAUUGUAGCUACAUUGGUUUUCAAUCCACUGGAGACAAAGUAAAGUGGCAGAAAGAGGCCAGAUACAAGAUCUUCAACUUUCUCCAGAAGAGCGCUUGCAAAUGGCCCUUCCUUUGGGACCAGAAUUCCAACCACAAAAGCCCCAAACAUGGCAUGGAUCCCAAUGGCAUCAGUAACAACCCCAGCUGCCAGAACAACAGCUAAUGUAGAACAUAUAUACAUCUCAUCCACUGGCUCACCUUCAUGGCAUCGCCUGGCCAUCCAUUUGAAUAUUGGUGGGAGAAUGAGACUCGCACAAAUAACAAAGCCACACCCACAUAAGAGAACCCAGAAUGGCACAAUGGGAGACUGUUUACUGCCAGAUAAGGAAAUAGCAAGAGCAAGUAGAAUCCAUGCAGCCACAUCAUUAACGGCUGCAGCUGACAUUGCCAUUCUGCCAACAUCAGUAGUUAAAAGUUUCAGCUCAGCUAAUAUACGGGCUAAGACAGGGAAGGCAGUUAUGGAAAGUGCGACACCCAUGAAUACAAGAAAGGAGGUCCCAUUGACCCCUUUGGCUAUGGUUUCUCGGAGAACAAAUGAUGUGCCAAUUCCUAAUGCAAAAGGGAGGCUGAUUCCGGCGAUGGCAAUUCCAAGGGCUUUCUUUCCAGUUCGACGAAGAGACUUAGGAUCCAACUCUAGGCCUGCAAGGAAUAGAAAGAACAGGAGUCCAAGGUUGGCUAGAGUGUCCAACACUGUGAGGCUUUGUGAUGGGAAUACUGCGUGCAGAUAGCUCUCGCUUCGACCCAGAGCUGAUGGCCCAAGUAGUAUUCCUCCCUGCCAAAUGAGCAGCAGAAUGUAAGGUAAAAUUUUCAAGGUAGUCAGUAUUUAGCAUAGGUAAUAACAAAUACAAAAUUGUGAUUUGAAGAAAAUAAAUCCCGUUCUUGGAAAAUUUGUGAGAAAAUGUUAGCUAAAAAAAUAAAGAGGAAAAAAAAUAUAAGAAAUGAAAAGUGAAGGAAAAAAAAAUUAAAGUUAAUAAAAAAAAUUUCAAAGAUUUUCUCAAACUCAUUUUAAUUGUUUUUCUUAUUUUAUAUAGAGAUAAAAUAAUUUUAAAAGGCUAAGUUUUACCAUGGAAAAUAUAAAAGAAAAUUAUAUAUAAUUAAAAUUAAUUAGAAAUUAAUACAUUUUCAAACUAUUUAAUCUUUAUAUAAAAAAAGAAAAUAAGUUAAAUGAGUUUGAAAAAAUAUUUGAAAAUAAUUUAUUAACUUUAAAUUUUUUUUUUUUCACUCAAAUUUUCUCUUAAAUUUUCUAAAGACCAGACAUAGGAUUAGCAUUUUUUUUUUCCUUAGUGCUUUCCUAGAACCAAAAAUAACAAAAUUAUACCACCCAUCGCAUGGCUAAGUUAAAAAUCAUUUUUCUUCUUUAGCAGCCACAAGACUUUGAACUACAGUAAGUUAGCAGGGUCAAGAAGAAAAAUAUUCAGACUAAAAUCAAAACUAAAUAGUACUCUUUUGCCUAACUGCUUGCAAAUAAGUUGACCCUAGGAAUCAAAAAUAAAGAUAUCCAACAGCUAAGUAUUUGGACAUUAAACAAAGUGAUGUACAUGAUUCAGAUGUGUGACUAAGUUCAGAAAAUGAGAGUAAAUCCAAACAAGAUAUUUUAUUUUGGAUUUUUUGUCUUUUCCAUCUUUGGCAUCAUCGAUUUUCUGGGUUCAAAUGCAAAUACAGCUGGCUAUAAACUGAAAUACUCCAAUACUUGACUUCUACGCCAUAACUGUGGGAAUUGAAUUAUGUUGCAAUGAGAAUAGAACACCACAAUUGCAGGGGAAAGAACUAAGUUUACAUGGCAUAAAAAGGAAGAACAUACCACAAUCUCUGCAAUCACUCGUGGCUGCCUUAGCGGUCUGAAAAGAUAAGCAAGACCUCGUGUAACAACAAGCACCAGGCAAAUCUGCAAAAUGGCAAGAGGGAGCGCAAAAUGAAGAGGAUUAUCCCCUUGAAAAAUGCCAUUAGACACCGACUUCAUCGGAGAUGGACAUGCAUGCCCAGCUGAAGAAUUGGUAGCCAUUACACCAAAACAACAUCAACAGAAACCAGCAAUUUUCACUUCAGCCUCUGUAGAGAGAAAAAAACAUCUUAUAUCAGACUGCAAAUUCCCAAAAAAAGACAGAACUAUACAAGAGAAAGACCACAAUACAGGGUAUCUCACUGUUUACCAAUAACUACUAGAAAAUGAAAAAAUAAUUUGUAUUCCAAGCAACCUCUCCAGUAUGCUUCUCUAACACACUUGGUGGAAUACCUUGCAACUUCGCCUUUUAUGUAGGAGAAGCAAAGCAGAAAGCUUUAAGUGAGUGAAUGGCAUCACUCCUUGCUAAUAAGAUAUAUCUACAGGCCCCAUAAAUUAGAUCAACCAUUUUUUUUCCUACUCAGUGAAGCUAAUUACACAAAAAGACUUCUAAUUUUUUCUAUCAAUUUUAUAAAAUAGUUCUAUUAGAACCUUUUUUCCAGUUUUAAAAUAUUUUAAAAUAUAUAUAUAUUCGAAAAUAUUUAUAAAUUUUAUGCACCCCAGAAAGCAAAUCUAGGAAUAAUAUGAGCAAGGAUUCCUAUCAAACAAACAACUACUUUGUUUUCUCCUUUCCGUACUAAAAAAGAAAUGGGCUUCAACUAAAGCCCUCUUGAAAAGUGGUCUUCAACCUCUGAAUCCGGCGAUGCCAGCGAAUACUGCCAGAACACCGGUAGUAAGGAAGCACCGAACUAUUUGAUUGGCGCCAGAGACGACUCCAGCCUCUGACUUCGAUCAGAUCUCGGGAAAAGAGGUAAAAAUUUGGAAUUUCUUGAUUGCAGAAAAACACACAAAAACUAUGAAUCCUUGAUGAUGAAAACGAUGGAGUAUGAAACUGUUACGACCACCUCGACCACGGCUUCCAACACGUUUGCCACGAGGAGCUAGUUGUAACAAACCUGAUCAAGAGAAUAAAUAUGGUUUUAAUUCGAGGAAAAACCAGACCUCCCAAUAGCAAAUUGCUAUAUAAUAUUCUGAUUGUCCCCAUUGAUAUGCCGUGAAGCUCUAUAAAUAGCUUUACAAAGUUAAACAACUUCCACAUCCCUAAACCAAUCAUCAUAAGGAUAAACACUAUUCCUAACCAAACUCUUAAUACUUCAAUCUGAUAACAAUUCAGAUUGCUAUUAUUAUCCUAAAACAAAUAAAAAUAAGAUAAUUAAAUAAAAAAUAAGAUAAUCCUAACACAAUCCUACUCAGUAACUCCUCUGCCUCGUGAAUACAACAACUCCUCUUGCUAGUGGACAACAUUCCACGAGGAGUUAUGGUGAUUCUUUGUUGUAACAAACCUGAUCAAGAUAAUAAAUAUGGUUUUAAUUCGAGGAAAAACCAGACCUCCCAAUAGCAAAUUGCUAUAUAAUAUUCUGAUUGUCCCCCAUUGAUAUGCCCGUGAAGCUCUAUAAAUAGCUUUACAAAGUUAAACAACUCCCACAUCCUUAAACCACUCAUCACCUAGAUAAGAAUAAACAUUAUUCCUAACCAAACUCUUAAUACUUCAAUCUAAUAACAAUUCAGAUUGCUAUUAUUAUCCUAAAACAAAUAAAAAAUAAGAUAAUUAAAUAAAAAAUGAGAUAAUCCUAACACAAUCCUAUUCAGCAACUCCUCUGCCUCAUGAAUACAGCAACUCCUCUUGCUAGUGGACAUAACAGAAACUGUGGCAAGACUCUAGCCCUUCUGACUGGAACUGAACUUUUCCUUAAAAAGUUAUGGGAUGAACAAUUUCAAGGACUCACAAAAUCUCCAUAAUUUGCUAUUUUUUGAACCUUUCUGAUGAAAAAAAAUGUAAUUUUGGAACCUAGGGCGGACUGAUGAGAUCUGUGGGGCUCCACUUUGGGAUAUUUGUGCUGGAGAUGAUUCAAUCCAAAAUCAAAUCCCAGACAAUGCUAAUGAAGAUGAUGAUGAAUCGAUUGAAAUGAAGCGUGGUUGUUUAUCUCAAGAUUUAAUGUAAUGCAAAAACUCAGAUAACCCUAAUCUCAUCUUCAUCGUCUCAAAAUUUAAUCAAGAAUCUGGGAGAAAUUUUCCUGGAAAAAAAAAAUUCUAGGCAAAGCUCGAUUCACAGUUUUGAUCAUGAUUACAGCAAUACCAGUUAUAACGUUGAAGACGAAAGAAAAGCUUCCUGGAACUUCCUCGAAUUUUUUUGGGAAAAAAAAAAUCUGGUAAAGCUCGAUUCACAGUUUUGAUCAUCACAUAUACAACAUUACAUCAAUAUCAGUUACAAAGUUGAAGAAAAGGAAAAAGAGAAAGAAAGAAGAUGAAGAAACCAAGCGAAAAGGAGAAAAAAAUGUCAAAGACUCACCCAACGGAAUGACAAAGUGCUCUCAUGGAUUCUCCACCCUCAUUAGUGAUUUUAAGUGCAAAUCUCCUAUUUGAUUUGAACACCAACUGAAAAUUGGAUUUGACUUGAACACCAACUGCUUUAUGAAAUGCCCUCAAGAUUUUGGGAAACUGAAAAUAUUUAAUUGGAUAAUAUCUUACAAUUAAGUCAACUUUAAUCGCUGAUCAUCUUGCCUUUUAAAAUACUAGUUCAUUAAAAUAAUAUCAUUUUUUUUUUUACAAAUAAUACUUAAUUAAAUUUGUUUAUACCAAGAAAUCCUAAUAUUCCAUGGGCUCAAUCCAGCAACGAGUUGACCCUCUGGCUUUCGACCCACAACAAACAUGGUGCAGCGGCGGUAUUCACGGAUGAUUUCGAUGGCUUCUGCAGCAUUUUUUACGACUCUUUCUUCCAAUUUGACCGAGCUGUUGUGUGACGUCUUGUUCUUGAAUUCAGCCAGGAAGUUUUCGUCCAAUGAGGAGUUGGAGUAGGGAUGUGGGUCAGGCGUGAGGGCCUCCUGGGUGUCUGGGUGGAAUAGGAAGCGAAUGGCUACUAGACUGAUGCCGGGAUGCUCAGCCAUGCGUGCGCCGCACUAGACGGCUUCACGUUCGUCGCAGCCCACUUGGACCGUUCCACCGAGGUCGCGGUCGACUAGGAUCCCAACUGAGCAUGGAGCAUGCUCGAGGACCUUUCUGUUGACCAUGCGGAAUUCACGUCUUCUAGUCUCCAAUGUUCCAUCAAAUCUCUCUGGUGCUUAUGAAAUGGGAGGAUGAUGAUCGCCGCCCUUUUCCUUUCAGCACUAGUGCAGAUGUCCUCGUGGAUGUUGGACAAGGCUGAAAUUGCUGUCAUUGGCCUGAUAGACACUGUGCUGAGCUGCCCGAAAGCCUCAAACGCCACAAUUAAUUGGUUGGAACCAGAGCGCACGGCCUUGUUCCAAAAGGGUAGCCCAUUCUUUCUUGCCUUGUGAACCAUCAGUAUUGCAGAUGACCUCUCUGACAGCUCCAUGAGGUGCAUUGCAUAGACACAAAGUCCUUCCCUCUUCCCGGUUCCACGUGAAGCCUCAACGAGAUUGAUAAUUGUAGGAAUGCUGUUUGCACUCUGGAAACAAACCAAGAUUCGAAGUUCAGCAUAGGGGUUCUUCUAUCAAUUGUUCUGUGAUUGUAAUCGGCUUUACUUGUCCUUUUAGCCGGCUUGUAUACUGCUAUAACUAGAGGUGUUGUGAUAAAGGUUGUGCAGAGAGCCAUGAGAACCAUGAUGGCAAAUGUUUGAUCAUUCAAUACCUGCAAAAAUCACCAUUGAAGUACAAGUUAGAAAUAAACCAUUGCAACAAAUCGGUGAUUGCAAUAAAGCUUAUGUUCUACCUUUCUCUCUUUACCAAUGUUGAGGACGAUGAGCUCCACCAAGCCCUUGCUGUUCAUUAGGAACCCCAGAGCUAGAGCCUCCCCCCGAACAGGCAUUCUCCAACUAAGGGAGACAGCAACGGUUCCUGCAAUCUUCCCCAAACAGGCUGUAAAUAUGACCAAAACAAGGAGACCCCACGAUUGAAGCCCCCUAAUUGUGGCCACAUCAGUCUUCAAUCCGCUUGAGACAAAGUACAACGGAAGGAGGAGGCCAGAUACAAGAGUUUUGGGUCAAAAUGGCCCAUUUUAAAAAAAAAAAAAAUUGUAACAUGUAACCACUUUUUAAAACUUAUAUUUAAAUUGGUCUCUUUUAUGCCACGUAGGUACAAUAUCAUUAAAAAAUAUAUUUUUUUUAUCAUUUUAGUUAAAACCGUAGUUGGCAACUGCGGUUUCAUAUUCUACGGCUUCAUUUUUUAACUAAAGCCGCAGUUGACAAUUACGAUUUCAUUUUUAAACCAAAUCCGCAGUUAUCAACUGAGGUUUUAAUUAAUUUUUUUAAUUUAAAAUUGAAUUAAAAAUUAUUAAAUUACAAUUUAUGAUUGAAAUUUAAAAAAUAUAUUUAAAUAAUAAAUUAUUUAUAUUUAAAUUUAAAAAUCUAAUAUUGCUUCAACAAAUAUAAAUUGAUAAAUAGAAAAUAUUAUAAAUAAAUGUUUUAUUUAUUAAUAAAUUAAUAAUCUUAAAAUAAUACAUUUAUAUAACAUAUAAAUAAUAUAUAAAAUUGUAAUUUAAUAAUUUUUAAUUAAAUUUUAAAUUUAAAAAAAAAUUAAUUAAAGUCUCAAUUGACAACUGUGACUUUAACUAAAAUGAUGAAAAAAAAUAUUUUUUAAUGAUAUGAUGCUUCCAAAUAAACUAAUUUGAAUAUAAGUUUCAUUUUUAGAUGUUACAAUUUAAAAAAAAAAAUAAAAAAGGAGGGUCAUUUUGACCCAAAACUCCAUAUACAAGGUCCUCACUUUUUCCACAAGAGCACUUGCGAAAGGACCUUUGGGGACCAAAAUUCCCAUCACAAAAGCACCAAAGAGUGCAUGAAUCCCAAUGGCAUCGGUAACAAACCCAGCUGCCAAAACAGCAGCUAAAGUAGCACAUACAUACAUCUCAUCCACAGGCUCACCCACAGGGCAACGCUGAGCCUUCCAUCUGAAUAUUCGUGGGCCAAUGAGUGAACAGCAAAGGACAAAACCAAAUCCACACAAGAACACCCAUAAUACUAUUAUGGGGUAAUGGCCAGUACCAGAGAGAGCAAUGGCAAGAGCAAGUAGAAUCCAUGCAGCCACAUCAUUGACAGCAGCAGCAGACAUGGCCAUUCGGCCAACAUCAGUUGUUAAAAGCUUGAGCUCUGCAAGGAUACGAGCCAAAACAGGGAAGGCAGUGACAGAGAGAGGGCCACCCCCAUGAAUACAAGAAACGACCUUCAUCUACACCCUUGGAAAUCGUUGCUCUGAGGACAACAGAUAUACCAACUCCUAAAGCAAAAGGAAGGCUGAUUCCCGCAACAGCAAUGCUAAGAGUUUUCUUUCCAGUGCGACGGAGGGAGUUGAGAUCUAACUCUAAGCCUACAAGGAAUAGAAAGAAGAGAAGACCAAGGUUUGCCAGAGUAUCCAACACUGUGAGGCUUUGAGGUAGAAAAAUCGUAUGCAAAUAGUUUUUGUUGCGACCCAGAGCUGAUGGACCAAGCAAUAUUCCUCCCUGCCAAAGUGCAAAUAAAAGUUUAUUUCUCCACCAUGCAAUGAAUACACAGAAUCUGUGCUUAUAAAAUAAGUGCAAGGAGAACAGAUUUGAGUGAUUUGGUAGAUAUUUCAUCUAUUGAUUUAUUUGAAGCAUCGGUCUUUCAAACUUGAAAAACCAUAACCUAAAAGAACAACAAUGCAUUCAAGGUGAAGGAUAUAGUAAAAAGAACUUACAAUAAUCUCUGCUACCACACGAGGUUCUCGCAGUGGCUUCAGAAGAAAAGCAAGACAGCGAGUAACCACAACUACAAGGCAUAUCUGCACAAUAACUAGAGGGAGAGCAAAAUGAAUGAGAUUAUCCCCCUCGAACACCCCAUUUGAUGUGGCCUUGGUGGGUGGUGGGCGGUGGGCGGUGGGCGGUGGGCAAGUCACAUUUGUUGCCAUUUUUCACCGAAACAAAGCAGAAUUCAAACAGAUGAAAACUGCCACUUCUCACUUCAUUUCCCGCAUCAUAUCACAAUCAAGCCAUGAAUUCCAAGCUCUAGACCAGUCUUCAAAACAUAGGCAGCCAACAAUCGUCUUAAAUCGCAUUAAUUUAUGAAUGAAGUGCAUGUGAUGAACAUCCAAAUAUGGUAAUGAAAAUGAAGUGGUCAAUGGAAAAGUCAUCACCACAGCCUGUAAAAUGCCAAAGUCUUUGUCAUGCUUGGUUGAGAUUAAAUAUUUUUUUUCAAGUAUAUCAAUAUUUUUUAAAUUUUUUGUUCCUUUUGCUUGCCAUGUGUCUUAACCCUAUUGGCUUAAAAAAGUGGGUAUGUUUUAAAUGACCUUUAUAAUCAAACCCCCAAAAAAAAUUGUAAAAAAGAAAUGGUGAAAUUGGUUGAACUCAUGGGUAUGAAGGAAAUUGGGAGAAAGCAUAAAAGUUAUGUAGUUUAAACUUUAAAUCCAUACUAAAUAUGGAAAUGGAAUUCAAUUCAAUGCACAUAUUUCUAGCCUUUUCUAGGCUUCCAAACAAAGUUAUUAUUAGAGGGCUCCUCGCAUCAUAAAGUAAUAUUUUAUACAAUUUUGGCACUCUUUGGGCCAUUAAUAACAUUUGUAUAUCUCAUGACAAAGAUAAAAGAUACUAUUAUGCUGAUUUUUUUAUAUUAUUUAAUUGAAUAGUUAGGGAAGGUAUAUAUACAUAUAAUUAAUUUUAAAAUGAUUUAUUUUUUAUUUUCUCAUUUUAAACUAAGAUAAAAUUAUAAAAAAAUGAUAAUAUCUUAUUUAUUUACAAAAUGUAAUUAAAAUAUUUAAAUAACUUUUAUCAAAAUAAAAAAUUAUAGGGGCAGUGUGGUGGGAUGGGUAUGGCAAAUUCUGAAAGGUGAGUGGGAUGAUUGGCAUCCUGCCUUGGUUUAGUUUGAGGUAAACAUAACUAAAUAAAUAAUGACAAUUGGAUUUGAUUUGAACACCAACUGUUUUAUGAAAUGCCCUCAAGAUUUCGGGAAACUGAAAAUAUUUAAUUGGAUAAUAUCUUACAAUUAAGUAAAUUUUAACAUCCAACGCCUUUUAUUUGUUUAUACGAAAGCAAACUAGACUUGAUGUGGAAAGAAGAAAUCCGAAUGUUCCUUGCGGAAGGUAGAAAGCUAAUGGCGCUUUUAACAGUUUUCCACCACCAGCCACCACUUCUUAGGAAAUAUCUGAGUUUGAAAACGACCUGGGUUGAUAUUGCUGCACAACAAGCACUGAUGCAGCUGUGGGAAUGCCACCACAAGUCAGCAAACUGCCCACCGGCCCCAGUUCCGGGAACUCGAUCAGUGGACUCAAUCCAGCAACGAGUUGACCCUCUGGCGUUCGGCCCACAACAAACAUGGUGCACCGGUGGUAUUCGCGGAUGAUUUCGAUGGCUUCUGCAGCAUUUUUUACGACUCUUUCUUCCAAUUUGACUGAGCUGUUGUGUGACGUCUUGUUCUUGAAUUCAGCCAGGAAGUUUUCGUCCAAUGAGGAGUUGGAGUUGGGGUUGGGGUGUGGAUCAGGCGUGAUGGCCUCAUCCAGGGUGUCUGGGUGAAAUAGGAAGCGAAUGGCCACUAGACUAAUGCCGGGAUGCUCAGCCAUGCGUGCACCGUACGAGAGGGCUUCACGGUCGUCGCAGCCGCCAAAGAAUGGGACUGUGAUGAUGGAGGAGACGUUGCUUGCAGAUACUUGGGCCGUUCCACCGAGGUCGCGGUCUACUAGGAUCCCAACUGAGCAUCGAGCAUGCUCGAGGACCUUUCUGUUGACCACCCCGAAUUCACUUCUGCUAGUCUCCAAUGUUCCAUCAAAUCUCUGGUGCUUAUGGAAUGGGAGGAUGAUGAUCGCUGCCCUUUUCCUUUCAGCACUUGUGCAGAUGUCCUCGUGCAUGUUGGACAUGGCUGAAAUUGCUGUCAUUGGCCUGAUAGACACUCUGCUGAGCUGCCCGAAAGCCUCAAACGCCACAAUUAAUUGGUUGGAACCAGAGCGCACGGCCUUGUUCCAAAAGGGUAGCCCAUUCUUUCUUGCCUUGUGAACCAUCAGUAUUGCAGAUGACCUCUCUGACAGCUCCAUGAGGUGCAUUGCAUAGACACAAAGUCCUUCCCUCUUCGCGGUUCCCCGUGAAGCCUCAACGAGAUUGAUAAUUGUAGGAAUGCUGUUUGAACUCUGGAAACAAACCAAUAUUCGAAGUUCAGCAUUGGGGUUCUUUCUAUCAAUUGUUCUGUGAUUGUAAUCGGCUUUACUUGUCCUUUUAGCCGGCUUGUAUACUGCUAUAACUAGAGGUGUUGUGAUAAAGGUUGUGAAGAGAGCCAUGAGAACCAUGAUGGCAAAUGUUUGAUCAUUCAAUACCUGCAAAAAUCACCAUUGAAGUACAAGUUAGAAAUAAACCAUUGCAACAAAUCGGUGAUUGCAAUAAAGCUUAUGUUCUACCUUUCUCUCUUUACCAAUGUUGAGGACGAUGAGCUCCACCAAGCCCUUGCUGUUCAUUAGGAACCCCAGAGCUAGAGCCUCCGGAACAGGCAUUCUCCAACUAAGGGAGACAGCAACGGUUCCUGCAAUCUUCCCCAAACAGGCUGUAAAUAUGACCAAAACAAGGAGACCCCAUGAUUGAAGCCCCCUAAUGGUGGCCACAUCAGUCUUCAAUCCGCUUGAGACAAAGUACAACGGAAGGAGGAGGCCAGAUACAAGGUCCUCAACUUUUUCCACAAGAGCACCUGCGAAAGGACCUUCUUUGGGGACGAGAAUUCCCAUCACAAAAGCACCAAAGAGCGCAUGAAUCCCAAUGGCAUCAGUAACAAACCCAGCUGCCAAAACAGCAGCUAAAGUAGCACAUACAUACAUCUCAUCCACCGGCUCACCCUCAGGGCAACGCUGAGCCAUCCAUUUGAAUAUUCGUGGGGCAAUGAGUGAACAGCAAAGGACAAAACCAAAUCCACACAAAAACACCCAUAAUGCUACUAUGGGGGAACGGCCAGUACCAGAGAGAGCAAUGGCAAGAGCAAGUAGAAUCCAUGCAGCCACAUCAUUGACAGCAGCAGCAGACAUGGCCAUUCGGCCAACAUCAGUGGUUAAAAGCUUUAGCUCUGCAAGGAUACGGGCCAAAACAGGGAAGGCAGUGAUAGAGAGGGCCACCCCCAUGAAUACAAGAAAUGGACCUGCAUCUACACCCUUGGAGAUGGUUGCUCUGAGGACAACAGAUGUACCAACUCCUAAAGCAAAAGGAAGGCUGAUUCCUGCAACAGCAAUGCUAAGAGCUUUCUUUCCAGUGCGACGGAGGGAGUUGAGAUCCAACUCCAAGCCUACAAGGAAUAGAAAGAAGAGAAGACCAAGGUUUGCCAGAGUAUCCAACACUGUGAGGCUUUUAGGUGGAAAAAUCGAAUGCAGAUACUGUUUGUUGCGACCCAGAGCUGAAGGACCAAGUAAUAUUCCUCCCUGCCAAAAUGAAAAUCAAAGUUUAUUUCUCCACCAUGCAAUGAAUAUCAGGUUUUCCCAAACAGCAGUGUGGAGUAUAUUAGAAGUACCAAGAACUUCUAACUUCAAGAAACCCCUUUAAUCCCAGAAAACAAAAAUGUCAAUACAAAAUUUAUUCCUUGAGUUUAAUUUCUCACUGUUAUUUUAAAGCUGUUAGUGAGAAAAGCCAGUUACAGUUUUCUGUUCUCAAAGGCAUAAACCUGUUUUUCCAAAACAUGUCUGGGAAAUUUUGGACAAAAAACAGCCUUCUUAGGAUAGUUCUAAAAGGAAGGGCUUAAGGUAAUUAUAUAAAUACUAAGAAUAAUUGAAAAUAAAAAGAACUUAUUUGGACGGAAAGAGAACGAAUUUUGAAGAUGAAUGCAUUCAAGGUGAGAGAUAGAGUAAAAAGAACUUACAACAAUCUCUGCAAUCACGCGAGGCUGUCGCAGUGGCUUCAGAAGAAAAGCAAGACAGCGAGUAACCACAAGCACAAGGCAUAUCUGCACAAUAAGUAGAGGGAGGGCGAAAUGAAUGGGAUUAUCCCCCUGGAACACCCCAUUUGAUGUGGCCUUGGUGGGUGGUGGGCAAGUCACAUUUGUUGACAUUUUUCACCAACAACGCAUGAGAAUUGCCAAUUCUCACUUCACUUCCUGCAUCAUUCCACAAUCAAACUAUGAAUGCCAAGCUCUAGCCCACCUCACUAUUCCUCUUAUAAAUCCAUUCAUGAAUCAUCAUCUGAUAAGAUCUGGAAAAUGCUUUUAAAAAGCUAAAGAAUUUGUAAAGACAUUUUUAGAAAAAAAAUACUUCAAAUAGAAAUAUUUUCAAAUCAUUAUUAGUUGGAUCUUCCUUGUUUUGAAUUCUUUAUAGGGAUUGAUAAUUAUUUCUUGAUCUUUAUCAUUUUUCAUAAUUCUUUCCAUAUUUAGAAAUAUUUUCAAACCAUUAUUAGUUGGAUCUUCCUUGUUUUGGAGGAUUGAUAAUUAUUUCUUGAUCUUAUCAUUUUUCAUAAUUCUUUCCCUAUUUAAUCUUUUAUUUUUCAAUAUACAAAAAUUUAAAAAAUAAAGUACAAAAAAAAAAAACCACUUAAAUUUGGUAAGUAAUUGACAAUUACCUGUAAUCAAAUACUCGAUAUUAACAGUAAAUUAAGAAAAAGUGGGUCAAGAAUUUGAUUUGAUCAGAUUUCAGAACAUGGUGGAUUUUGACAGUCCAGCCACGAGGCACAAGACCCCACAACUUCGGCUCCAAAAUUGUUGCCACGUGGCUUUAUGACGUGUCAAUGCUCAGCUUCCUUCCAUUUUUGUUUUUGUUUCUAUUUUAGAAACAAGGUUUGACCUUGGGAUGGGGUUUCUGUCUUUUCAGAAAGACUAUUUAAUUGAAAGUCAACAUCUGCCUUGCUUCACUCACCCGAGAAAUUUGCAUGCAUUAAAUACAAGAUGACAAUAGUACCCUCCAAAGCACAUUAAAUUUUCAAUGCUUACCUAAUUGUCACUUAUCAUUAUCAAAUCGAUAUAUAAAAAAAUUAAAAAAAUUCAGUUUUCUAGGUCAUGUUUCUUAACUGAAUGAUGUUUUAGAAACCAUUUCAUUAAAAAAUAUUUUCGUUUCGACUAGGAUUCUCAUAUUCGAUCAAAUUUUCUAUUUAGAGAAACUAAUAGAAAACAAAACAAAAAAAAAUGAAAUGGAAUGGAAAAGGAAAGAUUUUUCUCAGAUCCCUCCUCAUUUCUCCAUACAAGCACAUAUCCAGAGAGAAACGCAGAGAGAGAAGACAAUGACCUGAUCGUCAUCUUCGUCAUGGAAGGAGUUGUUUCUACCAUAUCUUCAUCAUCGUAACCACAUGGACGCUUCUAGAUCGUUCUCCAAAUCUCCGAGAAGAGAAAUUGCAGAAGCUUCUGGGUCGUUCCUCAAAUCUCCGAGAAGAGGAAUUGCAGAGGAAGAAGAGAGAGAAGUUGGGGUGAGUGCAGGACGGAAGAUGAAGUCGAGCGACAUUAAAUAGAAUCGCGAAAAUCAAUGCUAUGACCAUAUUGCCAUUCUUGAUUCGCUUUAUUUGCAAAAAUACCUCGGAUUUGUUGGCGACACAUUCCAGCCGUCCCUUGAUUUUGGGAGAUCUUGGUUAGGUUGGGAGAAAUUUUUAAUAAUUAAAUAAAAAAUUUAAUAAUAAUAAUAAUUAAAAAAACAACUCUACUGUCUUGCUAACAAAACCCACCAAAAGAAUUUUUAUGAAGGUAAAAAAUAUUUUAAUAUUUUAUAAUUAUAAAUUAAAACUAAAAAUCCAUCAAGUAGAUCAAAUAACAUUAACUCUAUCUAUAUAAAUUUAUAUCAAAUAAAAAAAAAACAACAUUAUCAAAAUAAAUAUAUAUAUAUAUAUAUAUAUAUUCAACAUUAUCAUCAAAUAAAUUAAAAAUCAAAAGGCAUUAUCUUGAAAAUCCAUAAUAAAAUAUCAAGAUAAUUUAAUUGAUGACGAAGAUAUUGUCCGUUGUUUUAGGUUUGAGGGUUGUCCAUUUUAGGUUCGAUGACUCUCACGACUUUAAAAAAAAGGUGUCUACAACUGGGGAUUUUUUUCACUAUCCGUGCGAUUCUGAGAGAAAAGGACAAAGAGAGGGGGGUUGCACCAGAAGAAGGAAAUAAAGAAGAGAAAAACGACAAAAAUCUAAAUCUCAGAAGGGAGUUGGGAGAAGUGGGUGGGGUCAGCCCUGUUGUGGGAAAAGCUGCUACUGGAGGACCAGUCCUUCCUUGGAGCUGUUUGGUUGUUUGGGCAUAAUCUUUUUCCUUUUUCAUUGAAUCUUUUUACGGUUCCUUUAGUUGGUAUUGAAGGUGUAGAGAGGAUCAUGGAAUCCUGAAAUGUGGAUACGGGGUCACAUCGUGCCUAGGAUCAAAUAAUUGCCCUGUCGAGCAUGAAAUGACAAAACUCUCAUUUGGUCCCAUUUAUUCAUUUUAUUUUUCAUUCACCCUACUCUCUUUACGAGUGAAAAACCUCACAAAGGAACGAAGAACCUCUUUAGAGUUGCGGACUUUGUUUACGAUAUCUUGCAUUUUUCUGCAUACAUUAUUCCUUUAAUCUUUCCACGUAAAUUAGACAAAUAAUAUAAGAGAUGUAGAAUCAUUAUAAUCAUGCCAUCAAACCUUGGAAUAAAGGAGAUAUAACUUCAUCUCGGGAUCACCCAGGCCAGAAUAAUUUUCCAACAUUUUCCACAGCCGACACUACUCCUCGGAGAAAAUCUCCGAGUUUGGAAAGGACCCGGGUUGAUACUGCUGCACAACAAGUACUGAUGCUACUGUGGGAAAACCAGGAGAAGUUAGCAAGCUGCCCACUGGCCCCAAUUCCGGGAACUCGGUCUUUGGGCUCAAUCCAGCAACGACAUGACCCUCUGGCAUUCGACCUACAACAAACAUGGUGCAGCGGUGGUAUUCGCGGAUGAUUUCCAUGGCUUCGGCAGCGUUUUUUACCACUCUUUCUUCGAAUUUGACCGCGCUGUUGAGUGAUGAAUUGUGCUUGAAUUCAGCUAAGAAGUUUUCAUCCAAUAAGAAGUUGGGGUUGUCGUGUGAGUCAGGGGUGGGUGCCUCUCCCUGGACGUCUGGGUGGAUUAAGAAGCGAACGGCCACUAGACUGAUGCCGGGAUGCUCAGCCAUGCGCGCACCAUAGGAGAGGGCUUCGCGGUCGUCGCAGCCACCAAAGAAUGGGACUGUGAUUAUGGAGGAGACGUUGCUUGCAGAUACUUGGGCGGUACCACCGAGGCCGCGGUCGACUAGGAUCCCAACAGAGCAUGGAGCGUGCUCGAGGACCUUUCUGUUGACCAAGCUGAAUUCACUUCUGGUGGUCUCCAAUGUUCCAUCAAGUCUCUGGUGCUUAUGGAAUGGGAGGAUGAUGAUUGCUACCCUUUUCCUUUCAGCACUUGUGCAGAUGUCCUCGUGGAUGUUGGACAUGGCUGAAAUUGCUAUCAUUGGUCUGAUAGACACACUGCUGAGCUGCCCGAAAGCCUCAAACGCUACAAUUACUUGGUUGGAACCUGAGGGCAGUCCCUUGUUCCAAAAUGGUAGCCCAUUCUUUCUUGCCUUGUGAACCAUCGAUAUUACAGAUGACCUCUCUGAGAGCUCCAUGAGGUGCAUUGCAUAAACACAAAGUCCUUCCCUCUUCCCCGUCCCACGUGAAGUCUCAAUGAGAUUGAUCAUUGUAGGAAUGUUGUUUGUACUUCGGAAACAGACCAAGAUUCGAAGUUCACCAUUGGGGUUCUUUCUAUCAAUUGUCCUGUGCUUGUAAUCUGCUUUACUUGGCCUUUUAGCUGGCUUGUAUACUGAUAUAACUAGAGGUGUUGUGAUAAAGGUUGUGAAGAGAGCCAUCAGAACCAUGAUUGCAAAUGUUUGAUCAUUCAAUACCUGCAAAAAUCACCAUUGAAGUACAAAUUAGAAAUAAAGCAUUGCAACAAAUCAGUGAUUGCAGCAAAUCUUAUGUUCUACCUUUCUCUCUUUGCCAAUGUUGAGUACAAUGAGCUCCACCAAGCCCUUGCUGUUCAUUAGGAACCCCAGAGCAAGAGCCUCCCGAACAGGCAUUCUGCAACAGACGGAGACAGCAAUGGUGCCUGCAAUCUUCCCCAAACAGGCUGUAAAUAUGACCAAAACAAGGAGACUCCAUGAUUGAAGCCCCCUAAUGGUGGACACAUCAGUCUUCAAUCCACUUGAGACAAAGUACAACGGAAGGAGGAGGCCAGAAACAAGGUCCUCAACUUUUUCCACAAGAGCACUUGCAAAAGGACCUUCUUUGGGCACAAGAAUUCCCAUCACAAAAGAACCAAAAAGAGCAUGAAUCCCAAUGGCAUCAGUAACAAACCCAGCUGCCAAAACAGCAGCUAAAGUAGCACAUAUAUACAUCUCGUCCACUGGCUCACCCUCAGGGCAACGCUGAGCCAUCCAUCUGAAGAUUCGUGGGGCAAUGAGUGAACAGCACAGGACAAAACCAAAUCCACACAAGAACACCCAUAAUGAGAUUAUGGGGGAACGACCAGU
rnacentral:lncRNA from 1 species